rnacentral:lncRNA from 1 species
UCACUACAAGAAAAUACACUUUCAGCGACCACUUUCGGCGACUACAUGAAUCGUGGUCGCGGCAAAUAAGGCUAUUUGCGACCAACAUCCUUAUUAGUUACUGAAUGAUUGUCCUACACCGACGAAAUGGAUAUUUGGUCGCGGAAAAGCAAAACCAAGUUGGCGGGGUGGAGGUAAAACUUUGGCGACUAACGUUUGGUCGCGGAUAAUAAGGCUAUCUGCGACCACCAUCCUUGUUAGUUACGGAAUAAUUAUCCUACACCGACGAACUGCAUAUUUGGUCGCGGAAAAGCAAAACCAAGUUGGCGGGUGGAGGUAAAACUUUGGGCAACUAACGUUUGGUCACGGAAAAGAAGGCUAUCUGC